AUACGUAGGGGGCGCGCGUUGUCCGGAAUGAUUGGGCAUAAAGGGCGCGUAGGCGGCCCGGUAAGUCUGGAGUGAAAGUCCUGUUUUUAAGCUGGGAAUUGCUUUGGAUACUGUCGGGCUUGAGUGCAGGAGAGGUAAGUGGAAUUCCCCGUGUAGCGGUGAAAGGCGUAGAGAUUGGGAGGAACACCAGCGGCGAAGGCGACUUACUGGACUGUAACUGACGCUGAGGCGCGAAAGUGUGGGGAGCAAACAGGAUUAGAUACCCUGGUAGUCCACACUGUAAACGAUGAAUGCUAGGUGUAGGGGGUAUCGACCCCUUCUGUGCCGCAGUCAACACAAUAAGCAUUCCGCCUGGGGAGUACGGCCGCAAGGUUGAAACUAAAAGGAAUUGACGGG
rnacentral:rRNA from 1 species